rnacentral:lncRNA from 1 species
UUGGAAAUUAUCAUGGAAAUAUCAAGGGCCACAAAGGGUUAGAAUAUUCAUUUGGCUUGUUAUUAUACACUGUUUACUUACAAAUGUUGAAAGAUUACGAAGAGGAUUGGGUUCUGAUACAUGUGGCCAUAAUUACGAGAAUAUCCUUCAUGUUUUUCGGAAUUGCACACCGGCAAGGGAUAUUUGGAUGCAGUUAAUACUUACAGGUAAACAAUUUGUUUUUUUGCAGGGUCUCUACACAAUUGAUGAAGCUUAAUUUACAAAAUCAACAAGCCCUAAAGCUAGUGGGUGGAGUCAAUUAGCCUUGUCUGUUCGGGAUUAUCAUUUGGCGUAUGUGGAAAAAUCGAAACCUACGCACAUUUCAAGGUCUUUCUUGGUGUACUGAUGAGGUUAUCAAAGCCUCCCUAUGUUGGGCAAAGCAAUAUGUUUCGAUGUUUGGAUUGCAAGGCACUUAACUCUUAAGAAUGGAUUUCGUUCUUGAUUCUUCG